ACGGGUGAGUAAUGUCUGGGAAACUGCCUGAUGGAGGGGGAUAACUACUGGAAACGGUAGCUAAUACCGCAUAACGUCGCAAGACCAAAGUGGGGGACCUUCGGGCCUCACGCCAUCAGAUGUGCCCAGAUGGGAUUAGCUAGUAGGUGGGGUAACGGCUCACCUAGGCGACGAUCCCUAGCUGGUCUGAGAGGAUGACCAGCCACACUGGAACUGAGACACGGUCCAGACUCCUACGGGAGGCAGCAGUGGGGAAUAUUGCACAAUGGGCGCAAGCCUGAUGCAGCCAUGCCGCGUGUGUGAAGAAGGCCUUCGGGUUGUAAAGCACUUUCAGCGAGGAGGAAGGCAGCAAGGUUAGUAAGCUUGCUGAUUGACGUUACUCGCAGAAGAAGCACCGGCUAACUCCGUGCCAGCAGCCGCGGUAAUACGGAGGGUGCGAGCGUUAAUCGGAAUGACUGGGCGUAAAGCGCACGCAGGCGGUUUGUUAAGUUGGAUGUGAAAUCCCCGGGCUUAACCUGGGAACGGCAUUCAAAACUGGCAAGCUAGAGUCUCGUAGAGGGGGGUAGAAUUCCAGGUGU
rnacentral:rRNA from 1 species